UCGACAUCCACGUCUUCGGCGGGGGGGGAUCAACUCCAUAUUAAUGCCCAUGAUUUUGGAAUGAGAUGUUCGACGAGCAGGUGUCCACAUACUUUAGGUCAUGUAGAGUAUCUUACCAUUCGCUAGCUGCCGCAAAGGCUAAUGUGACUGGCCUAUGUGUUCUAGUUACAGAGUCCGAUCUGCAGCGGCAUCUACAUCAAGCUCAGCACCAGGAACUAGUACAAAUCCUGUAGCUGCGGAUGAUGACCUAAAUACCAACUUUAGUAGUACAGAUCCCGUAGACCCAUUGGAUGAAAUCUUUCAGCCCAGUAACACGCUCAAGCUCAUCUGACUCGGAAGAGGAAAACACUGCACGGGACCGGCAAGAGCCAAAGUGUAAAGUCUAUAAGUCCAAGGUCAUGGACCUCAUGAAGUUCUGACAGCCAAUCGUCUCUACAGACAUUGGAUAUGUUGGGGCAACGAUGAAAGUGAAGUGCAACUGUAAUGGUGGACACACAGGAACAUGGACCUCCAGUCCUGACAUUCAGGAAAUGGCAGAGGUUCCGCUUCUCAUGGCUGCGUCUGUGCCGUUUUCAGGAGGCACUUACACUGAGUUGCAGGACUACUCAGACCAUGAACCUGAAGUUGUUUGCCAACACUACCGUCUAUCAGAUUCAGAACACCUACCUGUUUACAUUCAUAAAUGCACAAUAUGGUUAACGAAGGAAUGCUAUUUUGCAAAGACUGUUCCUGGAUCAGGAGGAAAAUAGUGUUGAAGCACAGCUGUCUGGGGAUGCACGCAGCAACAGUCCAGGCUACAGCACUAAAUACACCACCUAUUCCCUGAUGACCGAUGACACCAAUGAAAUUGUGCAUACUGAACUGAUACAGGUCACAGAGGCACCCAGCUCUGUUGCGAUGGAGGCAAUUGGCUUCAAGUGGGCCCUGACAGAGCUGUUGGACAACAUGGGUCUCCAAGUGGAUGUGGUCACAACUGAACGAUGAGGGAGCACUUCUCUGACAUCCAACAUGAGCUCGAUGUGUGGCAUACAGUGAAAGGAGCACAUCUGUGACGUACACAGCUGGACAGAGGGGAGGGGGAAGUCCACUGUCAACACCCUGACCUGUCUGAUGAUGACCAUUGCAAGAAGAAGUGGCUUUCCAUGGACUCAGUUAUGUAUGAAUACCUUUUGUGUUGGACAAACGUUUGACAACGGAUCACUCACAAAUAGCCAGAUUCAAAACAUACAGGUUAAUAGUCAUCAAUAACAGCAUAUUGUUUCAAUACUUUCAAUCAGAAAACCCAAAAUAAUUAGUCUACUCUGUUUUGUCUUUGUAAGCACACAGGCCACCCCAAAGCGGCAGGAUUUUGGGCUCCUGGGCAUGAAGGAGCAGACAUCUUGCUAUCCUGGAUUAUAAUGAGAAUGUGGGACGCAAACAAGCCAGGAUAGCCAAAGAUAUAUAUGAAGCACUAUUACCUCUUUAGAAAACAAAAUCACCAAUACACAAGCUUAGUGCUCCUCAAACUUUUCCCACCCUUAGAGUCUGUUCUUUGGCAUGGAAGAGAGGGGCCUUUAGUAUACUCUUCUAGCCUAUUCACUCUAUUGUUGGCCGUGCUUGUCUACUCAACAGCACAACUAUAGGUGCUCAUACACAACAGUACAUGACUAGUCUUUUUACAAGUCAUGCCCCCUUCAAACUUUUCACCCCUUUUUCUAACAAUCCAUCUCAAUGUUCCAUCUUUGACUGAGUAUAACAAAACACAUACCAGUCUAAUUUACAAUUUUUUGUUAACAGAUGAACAUGGUUUCUUGUAUAGUUACACAUCCUCAUGAUUUGUCUCCAUGUCUUACACAUCCUUAUGAUCAGUCUUCAUGUCUUUCCAGGACACCUGCAGUACAAACACAUCUUCUGCAAGAGGUCAAAGCAGUGGGUGGGAGAGGCUUGCUCCCCAAACCCAACAUCCUUUCAAACAUCGCUACAGCACUAAUGCCUGCUAACCAGCUGCCAUUGCCCAACACAAGAAGAGUUUCACCAGCUUAAGAACAUUCAGGACCCUGCCUGGGACAUUCAGUUAACAUGGUUCUAAGCAGACAUAUGGAAUUGUUUUAAGAUGGUCAUCCAAUGGAUCAUUCAGCUAUUUGAUUUAGAAUUUUAAGACCCCUUUAGUUAUAAAAAAAAAAUAUAUAUAUAUAAACAAAUAAUUUGAUAAAAUAUUGAAUUUGGCCUUUACUACUAUAUCCCAGAGAAAUGCAGUCAAAAGAUAAAUCAUAAGAAAAGUUUUGAAGUGUUCGUCCUAUAUCUAGGAGAUGCUGUAUAAGACAGCUCAGGAAAUAUAAUAGGUAUUUUUUUUACACAUACUUAACCCCUUUUUUGGGUAGGCACAAAACUACCUUCAUACUUCCAUAAAUAGAAAUAUAACGGGAUUUUAUAUUAUGUUACAUAGAUUGACGCAUCGGUGCAUCAAUCGACUCUAGGGUUUUUUAACUUGUCUCCUCCCCUUCAUUUACACUGAUUGAAGUGGAUUUAAAAAGUAACAUCAAUAAAGGAUCAUAGCAUUCACCUGGAUUCACCUGGUCAAUCUAUGUCAUGGAAAGAGCAGGUGUUCUUAAUGUUUUGUAUACUCAGUGUAUGUAUAUAAUGGAUUUUUUUAAAGUAUAUCAUCUUUUUUACAAGUUUACUGACAAGUGACUAAAUGAUUCCAGCUGCAUCAAAAACCAAUAAAGUGUUGACUUCAA